UACAGAGGUCCCAAGCGUUGUUCGGAUUCACUGGGCGUAAAGGGUGCGUAGGCGGUCGGGUAAGUCUGAUGUGAAAUCUCACAGCUUAACUGUGAAACUGCAUUGGAUACUAUCCGGCUUGAGGAAUGGAGGGGAGACUGGAAUACUUGGUGUAGCAGUGAAAUGCGUAGAUAUCAAGUGGAACACCAGUGGCGAAGGCGGGUCUCUGGGCCGUAACUGACGCUGAGGAGCGAAAGCGUGGGGAGCGAACAGG
rnacentral:rRNA from 1 species